AAAGGGAUUGGGCAGGCGAAGAGAGAAAGGGAUUGGCCCCAAGUCCCCAUCCCCCGAUUCCUCUCCCUCUACCUUUCCCUCGUUGCCGCCGCCGCCACCGACGACCUCCCUGCAGCCGCCGCCAUCAGUCACGCCCUCCCCAAUGGCUGACUCUUCCACCCCUUUUCUCCUCCCCUUAACUUCUCCUCACCAUCGGCGACCUGUCCUCCCCCUCGCACCAGAUCGAGCAGCAGCUCGGGCAGGGCAGAGCGGACGCCGCCACCACCACUCAACGCCGGCCUCCCCCACAGCCGCCGCCACCACCCGCGCCCUCACAUCUGGCGCACCCACCCCUUCCAUCCUCUCCUCACCUUCUCCCCACCAACGACGACCUCCUCCCCUCUUCCUCGUCACAGAUCGACCAGCGGGUCCGGAUCUGAUGCAGGCUCAGAUCCGGCACACCCGCAGCGCUUGUUCCACUUGAGGACGUCAUGGACAUGGUGCUCUAGCACUGGUGCUGCAGUCAUGGACAAGGAGAUUAUCACUCUCUACCUCUCUGUGUUGAAUUAAGUUGGUGUUGCUGCAACCUCAACGCCCAAAUAAUCAGCCCUAACCCUAGCCCUUCCUUGGGCAUGGAAACCAAGCAGACGGGAGGUGCAUCACAGGUUGCUACCAUCUAAUGUGUGGAGAGAGCCGAGGAGAAUAUGCUCCGUUACCAUCUUGUGAAGGAGGAUGUUCACCAUCCAAGGUGCUCAACAUCACCAUCAUCUCUCGCUUGCCAAGGGCCAAUGCACAGCGGCCCAAGCUGUUCAUUGGAAUGAUCCUCAUCAUUAUCCUUACCGAAGCUCUUUGCCCUGUACGACCUCAUCGUCGGCAUCAUCUUCUCUUCUACGGUUCUACCUUGUGUCCAUUACUAUCUGGAGCAUUUGUUUUUUAGGAUAAAAUACAAGACCAAACAAGCCAGCCCAAUUGUCGGGAUGCUGGAUAUAGUGGUUGGAGUGUUGCAGCGGCGUCGUGGCAGCGGAUGGUAGCGAGGUAUUUGGUGCCCCGUUCUACUGCACCACCGUUUCCGAGUGGUCUUAUUGAUGGCAGUAAAGAAAUCAGCGGGGAUAGUAGGUUGUCUUCCUUGUCAACUACAUAUGUCGUCUUUGUUGUUGAUGUUGCUACUUCCCUCAGUUGCGAGGUCAGACUGAAUUAUAUGUUCCUGUCCAAGCCCUGUUCACUGGCAUUGCCUCUUGAUUCCCUUCUCAGAACAGAAGAUCCACGCUAAACAUAACAAGUUCAUUAGAGGAGCAAAUGUUGUUUAUCACCGCAUCUCUUCACAUGUUGACAAGCCCGAUAUUUAUGAAGGCACUAUACAAGGCGCUGGCGCCAUACCUGCUCGGUAUGGACAGGAGAAGAUGCAGGGGCUCCGCUUCUUGGCCUCGGUGACGUCCUCGUGCCCCUCCACCGCUGGUGUUGUUGCUCGGGCGGCACUACCGGUCUACUAUGGCAGGCCUGCUUGUUGCUCAGGUUUAAAGAAGAAUCAAGGAUCAGUUCAAUGGUAAUUGGACUGCUGAUGACACUUGUUUGAACACAUGUGAUCCUCAUAAUAGAGUUGCCGUGAGUACCUUGCAGCCUCGCUACUUCGUUUUGUCCUGUUUGAUGGAAUACUACUACGUUGUGUGCCCCUUUCGAUUUUGGCAUGACGAUUAGAGCAGAUAGCGUUUCUGCUGAGCAUGGCAUGUUUGUUUGUCUCAGGUUGUAAAUUUUCUUAUAAUUUUGUAAUUUUAGACCUUCCUCUUAUUAAAAGUAUCUUAGACCUUCCUGUAAAUAGAGAGGCAAAGUUUUCUUAUUAAAAAUAUUUGCAUUUAAGUUUGAAAUAUUUAUGUUGCAUCAGCUCACACUAUUAUUAUUUUUUGUAUAA